rnacentral:rRNA from 1 species
GACGAACGCUGGCGGCGUGCUUAACACAUGCAAGUCGAGCGGUAAGGCCCUUUGGGGUACACGAGCGGCGAACGGGUGAGUAACACGUGAGUAAUCUGCCUUUGGCUUGGGAAUAACUUCGGGAAAUCGGGGCUAAUGCCUGAUGUUUACUGUCUGCUGCAUGGUGGGUGGUGGAAAGGUUUUUGGCCAGGGAUGAGCUCGCGGUCUAUCAGCUUGUUGGUGGGGUAAUGGCUUACCAAGGCUUUGACGGGUAGCCGGCCUGAGGGGUGGUUCGGCCACACUGGGACUGAGACACGGCCCAGACUCCUACGGGAGGCAGCAGUGGGGAAUAUUGCGCAAUGGGCGUAAGCCUGACGCAGCGACGCCGCGUGGGGA